UGGGGAAUUUUGGACAAUGGGGGAAACCCUGAUCCAGCCAUCCCGCGUGUGCGAUGAAGGCCUUCGGGUUGUAAAGCACUUUUGGCAGGAAAGAAACGUCAUGGGUUAAUACCCCGUGAAACUGACGGUACCUGCAGAAUAAGCACCGGCUAACUACGUGCCAGCAGCCGCGGUAAUACGUAGGGUGCAAGCGUUAAUCGGAAUUACUGGGCGUAAAGCGUGCGCAGGCGGUUCGGAAAGAAAGAUGUGAAAUCCCAAAGCUCAACUUUGGAACUGCAUUUUUAACUACCGGGCUAAAGUGUGUCAGAGGGAGGUGGAAUUCCGCGUGUAGCAGUGAAAUGCGUGGAUAUGCGGAGGAACACCGAUGGCGAAGGCAGCCUCCUGGGAUAACACUGACGCUCAUGCACGAAAGCGUGGGGAGCAAACAGG
rnacentral:rRNA from 1 species